rnacentral:rRNA from 1 species
GGUAACGGAGCGGCGAACGGCUCAGUAAGACAGAUGGAUCUGACCACUAAGAAGGAUAACCACGGGAAACUGAGGCUAAUACUAUAUUGGGUGAACAUCUGACCUAUCAGCUUGUCGGUAUGGUAAUUGCAUACCGUGGCUACAACGGGUAACGGGGAAUCGGGGUUUGAUUCCGGAGAGGGAGCCUGAGAGAUGGCUGCCACGUCCAAGGACGGCAGCAGGCGCGAAACUUACCCACUUGGAGGACCAGAGGUAGUGACGAGGCGUAUAAAUGAAUUUACAGUAAACAAGUAAAUGAAAGCGACUGGAGGGCAAGUCUGGUGCCAGC